rnacentral:lncRNA from 1 species
CUAGACACUUGAGGACCAUGCCCUAGCCAUGUCGGUGUGCAGCAUCAACCACUACAGGUAUUCAGGCACCCUCCCUCAAAUAAAAAACGCACAGGCGUGUGCUGGAUUGCUGCCCUACCAUCUGCAGCAAAUGUGGAUCCAUCCCAGUGUUCUGUGGAACCUAAGCUUGUCACCCUCCACAGAGAUCCCAGGUCUUCACUAUGUGGCUCCAGUCAUAGCCCAACAAGAAAGGUUUCAGCAGAGAUUUCAGCACAGACAUUAAGGGAGAGGGCGCAGAAAGCAAGUAUGCACACCAGCACACUGACGGGGCUUCCUGAGAGAUGCUCACCAGGACCAGCUUCGUAAAGAAAUCUCAGCGUUCCAAAUUCCCUUUAAAAAACAUAUUUAUUCCAUUAUACAGGGUUGUGUAAGAUAUUUCC